rnacentral:lncRNA from 1 species
GAGCUGCGGAUUGCGAUGGAGAGGCUUCAGGUGGCUUUGGCUCAUGAUUAGUAUCUCGAAGCUUUUUGCCACUUCUCAAAGUAAUCGCACUAACAUUCUGUCUGGGGUUGGUUUCAGUUUGAGAAGGGAGCUUACCUUGGGAUUGCAGUUGGCCUAUAGAGGUGGCCAUUUGGCUUAGGUCCUGUCGCACGCCUUGCAUAGAUGUGGUCAUUUGGCCUAGGUCUUGUCGCACGCCUUGCAUGGUGCUCACCAUUGUUUCCAUCAUUGUUUGCAUGAUCUUCUCAAGGUUCUGAUUUGGAGUUGAAGGUGCUGGUUGGGCUUGAUUUCUUUGGUAACUUUGGUAGUUCUGAUCACUAUUGCUCUUUCCAUAGCUAAAAUUGGGGUGAUCUUUCCAACCUGGAUUGUAUGUAUUGGAGUAUGGAUCAUAUCUAGGUUGGUUGUUGUACCUCCCAAUAGCAUUGACUUGGUGAUGAUCUUCUUGGAGAGUAGGACAUUGAUCAGUGGGGUGUCCUACAUGUAAGCAGAUCUCACAUGGCCUAGGAGGCUGGGGUGCUUGAAUCUGUUGCACUUGGCCAAGGGCGAUCUUUUCCACAAGAGAUGUUAGUUUUGAAAUUUGAGAUUCAACAGAGGAUGUUCUUACCUCAUAGAUUCCUCUUUGCGUUUGCCCCUCUUCUUCAUAUUGCUUAGAUGAAGCUGCAAGAUUGGAUAUUAGUUCCUUCAUCUCCCUUGGUGUCUUGUCUAAGAUAGAUCCUCCACAGGCUACAUUUAUGAGUUUCCUUUCUGAUGGAAUCAAUCCUCCAUAGAAGAACUGAAUGAGGACUUUGUCUGACAUAUCAUGUUGUGGACAACCUGUACAUAGUCUUUCAAACCUUUCCCAAUAAUCAUAUAAGUCCUCAGUUGGUUUUUGCCUUAUGCUAGUGAUUUCUCUUAUUAUGCCAAUUGAUUUAGAUGAUGGGAAGUAUUUGUCCAAAAAGGCUUGGACCAUAUCAUCCCAAGAAGUUAUAGAUCCAGGUGGCAAAUAAAAUAACCAAUCCUUAGCAUGGUCAUCUAAUGAAAAAGGGAAGGCUCUUAGUUUAACUUGAUCUUCAGAGAUCCCUUGAGGUCUCAUGGAUGAGCAAAUAAUUUUAAAUUCUUUUAAGUGCUUAUGUGGAUUUUCAUUUUGCAAACCUCUAAAUUUAGGGAGAUGAUGAAUCAAACCUGAUUUCAGUUCAAAGGGAACUGUAAGAGGUGGAUAGGUGAUGCAAAGUGGAGCAUAAUCACCUAUGGGAGUUGCUAACUCCCUCAUGGUUCUUUCCCUUUGUGCUUGUGGCCUAACUGCUAGAUUUUCUUGAACUAUUUGGUUCUGGACAGCAAGUCCAUUUGGGGCAGCAUCUUGUGGAUUAUGUUCAGCCAUUGGUGCAGCUUGUUGGUAAAAUUCGGUUGCUUCAGAUGAAGCUUCUGCGGCUUGCUUUCUAAGUCUUCUGAGAGUGCGUUCAAUUUCUGGAUCAAAGGGCAGUGUGUCCCUGUGUUCAGAUCUGGUCAUGAAAGAAAAA